CCCCCCCCCCCAGAAGAAGAUGUAUUUGACAAAACCUGUGUUGCUAUGGUAACAGAACUAGACAGAUCCCAGGUCUUGUUGACCUUGCAGUUUUUAGGACCUGGUCUGGGUUUUGAGUAGAUAAAAUUGUAAGACAUGUACAUUAGCUCUGUCAAUAAAAUUCCUUAGCUGCAUUUGUCAUUUUAUGACAUAUGUCACUGACAAUAUGCCAUCUGUAUUAGAAGAAAUAAUGCUGUCUUUAUCUGAAUAUUAUCUAAUCUGUAUGUUGUAUGUCACGCUGUCCUGACAUACAAUCUGCCCUGUUCUAAAAGCUUCAGCUAAAAUCAGCUCACUCAACAAAUUGUACGUCUUUGACAUAGAUGUCUCACAGUUUUCCUUGACAGAAUAUGUUCAACCUGUGACCUUACCUUUCUAGUAGAGUUCAGCUUCAAUCUGUGACCUUACCUUUUCAGUAGAGCAACUUCAGUUGUGACCUUACCUUUUCAGUAGAGUUGAACUUUAACCUGUGACCUUCCCUUUCCAGUAGAGUUGAACUUUAACCUGUGACCUUACCUUUCCAGUAGAGUUGAACUUUAACCUGUGACCUUACCUUUCUAGUAGAGUAGAACUUCAGUCUGUGACCUUACCUUUUCAGUAGAGUUGAACUUUAACCUGUGACCUUCCCUUCAGAGAAUGUGAAGAGUUCCGUGUUUAUUUUUUUUCUCCUGUCUGUGACAAACCAACCCAUCAGUUGGGCAGUGAACACCAGUGACACGACACAGCAGCUGUCGCCUGACCUUCGUCAGAUGACAGACAGCUUUUCAUCCCACUUGACACUGGCUGCUGUCAAACAGCAGUGCUAGCUGAACAGCCUGUUCCCCACCUACCAUAACACCUACUGUGAUGUCUGUUUUAGUUCAGCAGAUAAUGACAAAAAAAUAUGUUUUAUAAGAUACACUACAGAUAUGUGAAUCUCAUGUGGGGUAAACUCCUACACAUAAGGGUAUAUCUGUAUAUAUUUUAACUAUGAUAAAAUAAACCUAUUUAUAAUUAUAUAUAAAUAUAUGUAUACUACAAGAUUGGCUUGUGAUGCUCAGUGUUUUUAUUUUUUUUAGAUUAGCCUUGUAUGUGAAGUCCCACCCUCAAACGUAUUACUUGAGUAUGAGCUAAAUAACUGAUUAUAGUUAUUAACUUUAUUAACUUUGAAUUUUUUUAGAGUGAUAAUUCUAGUUGGCAUUGUUAACUAGAUUCAUUAAUUAAUUGUUAAGUAGUUCAUGUAAUUAGAUUUAAUUGUAACUAACAAAUUUGGUGAUGUAAACUAGAUUACAAUUCUGAUAGUCUAGUGUUGAUUAAGAAAUAAGAAAAAAAAACUUUUAAUUACGCUAGCUUCUAUUGAAAUGUUAAUUAACAUUUUCAACACAAGAAUGGAUAUUUUGACAAUUAGAUGAAAGAAACAUGCAUUUUGCUUACUUUCAGUGACUUAAUAAAAUGUUGUUGUUAGAUAGUUUAAAUAAAAUCAAAUUAACCAGUCCAUCACUGGCUACUAUAUAUUUUUGUCUAUUGGAAUGUUUCCGUAAAAAUCCAUUCAUUUUAUUUGCUUAUUUGGCUCUUCUUUAGAUAACCCCCUGUGUAGGACUUAAAAGAACAGUGAGUUAAAAUUCUAGAAAUAUCUUCUCAGUUGAACAUUUGUUCUCCAGGUUCUCCUUAAGGUUCUCCUUAUGGAAUUUUUCAAAGAUAUUUGAUGGAAACACAUCAACAUUUUCACUCAUCCUCUGUCCACACCACACAUUUUUCUCAGAUAUUUGAUGGAAACACAUCAACAUUUUCACUCAUUCACACCUUACUGGUUCUUUUUGCAAAAUAUAUUUUUAGUUGAUUUUACCAUGACAGAAAGUAUGUUUAUAAACUUUAAACUUUGUAUAUUGCGCUAAUAUAGAGAAUAAGCUUGUAAAUGUUUAUAAAUUGUUUUAACCUUGUAAAUGAUCCUAUACAAUGAAGUAUAUGUGAGAUUUCUAUAUCAGCACAUACUAUUUUAGUUGUUUUAAUUAUACAGUAUAAAAUGUUGAUGAGAAUUUAUUUGCGUUGUAUUUUAUACCCAUGAGGUUUUUGUCUGAUUUAUUUCAUUGGCACAUGUUAAUUGUAUGUGUAUGACGUGGCUUGAUUGUCCAGACUUUUGUGAAACCAUAUUUUACAUUCCCGCAAAGAAAUGCCAAGAACAAACUGUGAAAUUAUUUUAUUUUCUAAUGCAAUUUUGUAUUGUGUUACUGGUAUUAAAUAAUAUUAAAAGUAAGAUUCUGAUAAAAUAUUUUAUUAAAUAUAACAAGAUCAUUUUUAUUUAUUCCUAUUUUAGUUUCUGUGUAACGAUGUCAAGUUGUUUUGAUAGAAUUAUUUUCAUAAGAAUGUAUUAAAAUAUGUUUAUAAAGCAGACAGAAAAUAUUGAAUGGGUGUCUACUAGACUUGUAGAUCUAUAAUAAAUUUUUAAAUGACAAACUGGCAACUUUACUUUCAUUAGAUUUGACAAAGCCAAUUUUUAUCUGGCAGAAAGAUAAAUGUUUCUUUAUCAUGAAGCUGCAGUUUCUGUAUGUAAAUUUGAAGAUUAAUUACAGGGUUUUUAUUUGUAAUGUGUUUUCUUUCAGUUAUUUGUAUUAGGAUUUAAAUGAUGUCGAUCACAGUUCAUUUUUUUAUUCAAACAAAUUCUCCUUGGGUUGGUCACUUGAACAUUACAUUUCCUAUUGUUUACAAUAAGUUCACCCUUAUCAGCUGGGUAAUAAUUAUGUGUACCUAAAAAAAACAGAGAAAGCUUUGAAUUAAUGUAAAGUUAUAAGACACAAUCUUGUUUGAAUUCAGGUUACAGAUCUACAUUAAUUGCCGAAUUCUAGUUAACAUUGAGACAACAAAAAAAAUAAUCUAAAAUUUGAUGAAAUUGUUUUUUCUUUGACAUAACAUUCCACACUAAAUUUAAAAACCACUGAAGCUGAAACCAAAAAAAAAAGUUAAAUAUUUUAUGACAUUUAAAAAUGUUUAGACACUGAAUUUGUGUUUAAUUUAACCACUCAUAAAUAUCAACUAAUGGAACACCUUUUACGUACUUUUAAUUAAUUUUUCUAAUUAAUUUUUUUUGUUUAAUCUAGAUUUAUAAAAUGAGAUUUAUGAGUUCAGAGAGUUGAUCUUUGCUGUUAUGUGAAAAAAUUUGGUAUGUGGUAGGUGUCUGUGCAUGUCUUCCCUCUUAUUUAGGACUUUAUCCAUGUUUAUUUUUAACUUUCUAUUUUUAGCUAGCUUAAGUGCUCAUCUGUUUUCUAUAUUGGACAAUAUUUUUUUUUACUUAAAAACUUUGUGUAAACUUUUAAAAUCUUGUGUUGAUCAUACAUGGCAUUUUUCUUUUUAAAUUUUAGAUCAAUGUAUUUUGGUCAAACUUUGAAAUUUAUUUUUAAAGCAUAAUAAUUGAAUAUUUUGUUUUUGAUUGAUUUCAAUUUGUUCAUUUAUCAAAUGCAUGGGUUUACUUUGUAUAGAAUUUUUUUUUUUUUUUGACAUUCAAAGUGCUGAUGAGAAAAACUUAUCUUUUGAUAUUUGCCAAAAGCAGUCACAUGACAUUGUGGUCACAUGACAUUGUUUAUGUUUGUUUUUAGCAAAUCCUACAUUGGGAAGCUGGAUUUUGUUUUUUUUACAUUUGGUACUAUCAGGUUUAACAUCCACCCAGCCAUGUGCUAAGAGGUUUAACCAGCACCUAGCCAUGUGGCAAGUUUAACAUCCACCCAGCCAUGCGCUAAGAGGUUUAACACACACCUGGACCUGAGUUUUGGGUUAACUGUAGCCAGCUAUUGGCAUGGACUACACUAAAAUAUUUUCAAUAAAGUAUUUCUUCUACA